rnacentral:rRNA from 1 species
CCCUUAGAUGUUCUGGGCUGCACGCGCGCUACACUGAUGCGCUCAACGAGUUUAUAACCUUGUCCGGCAGGAUUGGGUAAUCUUUUUAAAACGCAUCGUGAUGGGGAUAGAUUAUUGCAAUUAUUAAUCUUCAACGAGGAAUUCCUAGUAAGCGCGAGUCAUCAGCUCGUGCUGAUUACGUCCCUGCCCUUUGUACACACCGCCCGUCGCUCCUACCGAUGAAUCGUCCGGUGAAGUUCACAGAGUGGCGGUUCGUGGAGUUGCUCGCGAAGUGAAAUGGACCUCACGAUUUAGAGGAAGGAGAAGUCGUAACA